rnacentral:lncRNA from 1 species
GGAUUUUCCCUCGGCUUUUCCUGGAAGCCUGGGCAAAGCCAGCCCCUCAGGGCCGUGGCACCCGGAUCUCCCAGCUCCACGUGGAGAGAGGAUGAGGGCGACAGUCCUCUGUGACCAGAGGAGAUGCAGAGCCAGGGCUCCGCCUGCAGAGGCUCUCGUCCAUUUGACAGGCACCCUGUCCUGCCAGGUCUCUGCCCCGUUCCUGUGUCUCUCUGGCUGUAGGAAGCAGCAGGACCUUCAGAGUGUGGGGAUAUGCACCUUAGUGAGGCCGUGGUUUUACUCAGGCUGCAGAGCAUCCUCCUACCUCGAGAUGAAGGGCACAGGGAGACGGAGCACCAGGACUGCCGCCAGUGGGAACGCGCUGCACCCGCAGAGCACAGCCAGCUGUGGCCACCGUGGGAAGCAGAGUGGACAGACCGGAGUGGAGAGUGCCCCGUGGAUUGCCCUCCCCUACCCUGUCCUUGAGUGGGGACCCAGCGUGACCGCACGGACAAGACAGGAUCCAAGCGCAGCAGGAAGCAGGGGCCGAGUGCCUGAGCGACUGCGUGGAACGAGCUGCUCAGGGCAUGGGCACUGGCCUUGCACCAAGGAGGAAGAAAUAUAGGUGCACGAACGGAGGGUGUUUGUAAGAGAAAAAACCCUCAGCAGGAAGGUGGUCAAGUCAAUUCUGGUACAUCCAGAUGACGGGAAACUGUGCAGUUUUGUUUGAACGAGGCAGCUCUAUAUGUGGUGAUUUAGAAAAAUGAAAAUGCACGCCAGGGAAGAACACAGAGUGGGG